CCGCCAUGUUACUUGGUGGCCACCAAUGAAGCAACAGAAGGCGACGUCAUCGCGCAGAGGGCUUAAAAGCGGAGCGCUCCUCCUUCUCUCCCGCAUUCGACCUGCAGCCCCGUUAUCAGCUCCUGGACUCCUGCCAGUUAAAGCAAAACUACAUUGAAGAUGUCGGACGAGGGGAAAUUGUUCAUCGGAGGACUGAGCUUUGAGACCAAUGAGGAGUCUCUAGCCGCGGCCUUUGGCAAAUAUGGAAACAUCGAAAAAGUUGAUGUCAUCAGAGACAAAGAGUCGGGGAAAUCUCGCGGUUUUGGCUUUGUGAAAUACGACAAUUGUGAAGAUGCUAAAGAUGCACUGGAAGGCAUGAACGGCAAGACCCUAGAUGGCCGGUCCAUUCGUGUGGAUGAAGCAGGGAAGGGUGGCCGAUCCAGAGGAGGGUUCAGCUCAGGCCCAAGAGGAGGACGGGGUGGAUUCGGCGGGCGUGGGAGAGGUGGACGAGGUUACUCCAGAGGAGGUGGCGGAUACAAUGGAGACCGGGGUUACGGUGACAGGAGUUACAGUGACCGAAGCUUCAAUAAUGAGGGCCGGUUUGGAGGUGGUGGUGGCGGUGGCAGCCAGUACAGGAGUAGUGGAGGUGGAUACUCAAGCUACAGAGACAACAGGGGUCAGGGUGGAUACGGUGACCGCUCUGGAUCCUACCGCGAUCACUACGACAGCUACAAUUGAAUGGGCUGACUGAGGCUUCAGUGGAUCUCAACAGCUGAGUAAAGUAUCCGGCUUCAAAUGACAGCGAUGGAUGCACAUCUAGUAUCGGGUCUAAGAGGCAGCAGCUGUGAGCAGUGGUUACGGUGGAGGAACCUGCCAGGAUCCCGCCAACUAAAAGUUCAAGCAAUUUGUGACUAUCAAAAUGUUAGCUUGUGUGCCACAUUUCCACGUAUGGCCUGCUAUUCAAAGUUCCGGGGGGGGACGAGGCAAGAUGGCAGGGCUACUACACCCUAGUCCCUGAACACUUUCAACAAUUACUUCUAUCUGAAUGGAAAGAAAU